rnacentral:rRNA from 1 species
UGGUGGAGUGAUUUGUCUGCUCAAUUGCGAUAACGAACGAGACCUUAACCUGCUAAAUAGCCCGUAUUGCUUUGGCAGUACGCCGGCUUCUUAGAGGGACUAUCGGCUCAAGCCGAUGGAAGUUUGAGGCAAUAACA